rnacentral:lncRNA from 1 species
AUGCUCAUCAACAACAGACUUCCAUCCAGUUGGAAUGUGCAAUAUGGAGGGGAACCAAGAAGACGUCAUGUCGCAAGGCAUCACGGGAAGAGGAUUUUGGCUGGCGGAGUGAGCGCAGGAAUGGCGUCGGACAGACAGUGUGACCCAGGGCUCAGGUGGCAGCUGUGCUACGACUUCUCUGCCAGGUCAUGGUGGAUGGUAGGGAUACUCCCUGUCUAUCUCUAUUGCUUUCUCCAUCACUCUCGCUUUCCCCAUCACUUUCGCUUUCUUCUCUCUCCAUUGACCAUCUUCAUUAAAUUGAAAAAAUUUGUUUCAUUAAAAUGACAUUUGGGUGGCGGUUGUUGCUCAGGUAUAGGGCAUAGAAAAUGUUUUGUUCCUGUGGGUAUCUACUUUUAAAAUGGCAAGUUGAUUGUCAGGAAUCAAUUGAUUGAAUGUUUGAUGAAGUGAUUUCUGGUGAGAGGAUAUAUUGUUGUACGAGGGUCUAGUUGACUUGGGUGAAAGGAUUCCUGUAGAGAAGUUGGAGUCACCUGCAUCAAUUGAUAUUGGAAUGAUGGUGUAGUCAUCAAAAUCCUGAUGACAAUUGUGAUCAUUUUGUGUUUUCAAUAAUGCUUUUUCUUUGGGUUACUUUAAAUGGUAAAAAGCUCAGUUGUGUGUGUGUGUGUGUGUGUGUGUGUGUGUGUGUGUGUGUGUGUGUGUGUGUGUGUGUGUACAAAAUGAGGCUGCUGCCCUGAACUCUACUUUCAUUGCUAGUUUUUUUUAAAGUGAAAGUUGGUAGAUACGUAACGCCACUCACACAAUUAUUUAACAUAAUUCAGUGCCAGAUUAAAUAUUUCAAUUGCCGUGGAAUAAAGACUGACUGUUAUUAAAUACAAUCUUAUCUCUGUUGCUAUCCUAUUACUCUCAGAAUAUUGGGACUUCAAAUGUUUUGUAAAUGCUUGUUACUUUUGGCUUGCAUACAUUUA